AGCAGUCGCCGCGGUAAAACGGAGGGUGCAAGCGUUAAUCGGAAUUACUGGGCGUAAAGCGCACGCAGGCGGUCUGACAAGUCAGAUGUGAAAUCCCCGGGCUUAACCUGGGAACUGCAUUUGAAACUGUCAGGCUGGAGUCUUGUAGAGGGGGGUAGAAUUCCAGGUGUAGCGGUGAAAUGCGUAGAGAUCUGGAGGAAUACCGGUGGCGAAGGCGGCCCCCUGGACAAAGACUGACGCUCAGGUGCGAAAGCGUGGGGAGCAAACAGGAUUAGAUACCCCUGUAGUCCCUGUCUCUUAUAC
rnacentral:rRNA from 1 species